rnacentral:rRNA from 1 species
UACAGAGGUCCCGAGCGUUGUUCGGAUUCAUUGGGCGUAAAGGGUGCGUAGGCGGCAGCGCAAGUCAGGUGUGAAAUCCCGGGGCUCAACCCCGGAACUGCACUUGAUACUGCGUUGCUAGAGUACUGGAGAGGAGACUGGAAUUUACGGUGUAGCAGUGAAAUGCGUAGAUAUCGUAAGGAAGACCAGUGGCGAAGGCGAGUCUCUGGACAGUUACUGACGCUGAGGCACGAAGGCCAGGGGAGCAAACGGG